rnacentral:rRNA from 1 species
AUGUUGGAGGGACGUUUCAAUCUGGCAUUGUUAGCUAAACAAGUGUGGCGUCUUUUUGACAACCCUGAUUCUUUAUAUGUCCCUAUCUUGAGAGCUAAAUAUUUCCCUGAUGGUGAUAUGAUGAAUACAAGUUUAAAAAAGAGUUCCUCUUUUACUUGGCAAAGCAUUAUGGUGGGAGUUAUAUCACUGAAAAAUGACUAUAUUUGGCGAGCUGGAAAUAGACAAAAUAUAGAAAUUUGGAAAGAUGCAUGUAUUACGAACUGUGGAAAUAGAAAAUUCAUUACUCCUAGAGGAGGAAGCACAUUCUGUCAAAAGUAUCGAAUCUUAUUGAUCCAGUCACAAACCUUUUAG